AGUGGAGACCGGCUGGACUGCAGGGAGAGAGAGGGAGGGAAGGAGGGAAGGAAUGGGGGAGGGGCGAUGGGAGGGUGGUCGCUGCCGUACCUGACUCACUCACAGUGUGUGUCUAACCUCGCCGCCGGGAGGGAGUUGGGAGACCUCGUCCCCAUACCACCACCACCACCGCCACCGCCGCCGCUGCUGCCGCCUACCGCCUCCCCCGUGCGUGCCUCCUCCAGGAAGGAUCGUAAGCAGGCGUGGAGUGCCUUGGCGGGCUGGCGGGAGUGUGAUGCUGUCCCGCAAGAGCCGAUGAGUUCCUAAGGUACGUGUCUUGAGUGUUGACCUGAGACACCUGGCAACCCUCACCUCACCUGUAAGUAAGCCUCAUUAGGUCACAGGUAUGAAACUACCAGUGCUUCUCUUAUCGUUUGCCAUGUAAGUCAUCUGUCGCUCCUUCUCUCUCUCUCUCUCUCUCUCUCUCUCUCUCUCUCUCUCUCUCUCUCUCUCUCUCUCUCUCUCUCUCUCUCUCUCUCUCUCUCUCUCUCUCUCUCUCUUCCUUACGUAACCCUGAAAACGUGACGCAGAGAUCUGGAAAGUUAAAUAUUUGUAAAUGGAGUAAUUCUGAGUAAGGAAGAAGAGAAAAUAAUUAGUGAAAGAUGAGGUAAAGUAAAGAGAUCAAUUAAAGUAAAAAGAGGAGCGCUGAGUAAAGAACAAGACAAGAAAAUGAAGUAAAAGUAAGAGUAACAUUGAAUAACGAACAAGACGAAAUGAAUAAAGAAUGAAGAGGUGAAUGAAGAAAAAAAAGUAAGUGACAAAAAAAAAAUCGG